UACGUAGGGGGCAAGCGUUAUCCGGAUUUACUGGGUGUAAAGGGAGCGUAGACGGCAAGGCAAGUCUGAUGUGAAAACCCAGGGCUUAACCCUGGGACUGCAUUGGAAACUGUCUGGCUCGAGUGCCGGAGAGGUAAGCGGAACUCCUAGUGUAGCGGUGAAAUGCGUAGAUAUUAGGAAGAACACCAGUGGCGAAGGCGGCUUACUGGACGGUAACUGACGUUGAGGCUCGAAAGCGUGGGGAGCAAACAGG
rnacentral:rRNA from 1 species